rnacentral:rRNA from 1 species
GUCAAAUCAGCAUGGCCUUGAUGUCCGGGGCGACACACACGCUACAAUGGCCGGUACAAUGCGUAGCCAGCCUGCGAGGGUGAGCGAAUCGCCGAAAGCCGGUCUCAGUUCGGAUUGGGGUCUGCAACUCGACCCCAUGAAGGCGGAGUUGCUAGUAACCGCGCGUCAGCCAUAGUGCGGUGAAUACGUUCCCGGGCCUU